AGAGCAGUGAUGACUCCAACAUGCCAUCUGAGGUGCAGUGCUGAAAUCCAGAGGCUGUUUCUGAGCUG
ensembl:snoRNA